rnacentral:rRNA from 1 species
UACGUAGGUGGCAAGCGUUGUCCGGAUUUAUUGGGUUUAAAGGGUGCGUAGGUGGUCUAUUAAGUCAGUGCUGAAAUAUCCCGGCUUAACCGGGAGGGUGGCAUUGAUACUGAUGGACUUGAGUGGAGUUGAGGUAGGCGGAAUUGACGGUGUAGCGGUGAAAUGCGUAGAGAUCGGAAGGAACACCAGUGGCGAAGGCGGCCUUCUGGACAGUGACUGACGCUGAGACGCGAAAGCGUGGGGAGCAAACAGG